CAACACAGAAGCUGAACCUCUCCGAUCGUUGCGGAGCCACCACUCUUGAUGUGCACUUGACACCAUCAGCCACGGAUAAUGAGGAUGUCUUCACUAUCAGGGUGAUCGGCCUGGUGGUGCUUUCUGACCGUGAUGCGUGCACCUGAUUUUCUUUUUUUCUUCCUUUCUCAAAAGGCGUCCUCUUUUGACAUGCGUAGUAUUGUCAAAUUUUACGUGUAAAUGGAUGGGUGGUUUCAUUGCUUGAUCUGGGACGAGGAUCCGUCGGCUCACUCAUUUAACUGAAUAACUAGAUAAUGUAGCUACCGGAGGCGGAAAGGAAAGCACAGCACAACAUUGCUAUCCGUCAUACGAACAAUAAAUGGGUAACCGGUAAGGAAACAUGAAAAGGUGCUAAAGAUAGUUGGCGAUUUAAUAAAAAGUCAUGCAGGGGAAUCAUCUUUGGUCAACCUCUGUAUGCCUGUUGUAAAGGCAUUUAUUAUCUAUAUGACUUGCUGAAACAAUGGGGGU
rnacentral:sRNA from 2 species